CGUUCCCGGGCCUUGUACACACCGCCCGUCACACCACGAAAGCGAGCAACACCCGAAGCCGGUGGCCUAACCCGCAAGGGAGGGAGCCGUCGAACGGUGGGGCCCGUGAUUGGGGUG
rnacentral:rRNA from 1 species